rnacentral:rRNA from 1 species
GAUGAACGCUAGCUACAGGCUUAACACAUGCAAGUCGAGGGGAAACGACAUCGAAAGCUUGCUUUUGAUGGGCGUCGACCGGCGCACGGGUGAGUAACGCGUAUCCAACCUGCCCACCACUUGGGGAUAACCUUGCGAAAGUAAGACUAAUACCCAAUGACGUCUCUAGAAGACAUCUGAAAGAGAUUAAAGAUUUAUCGGUGAUGGAUGGGGAUGCGUCUGAUUAGCUUGUUGGCGGGGUAACGGCCCACCAAGGCAACGAUCAGUAGGGGUUCUGAGAGGAAGGUCCCCCACAUUGGAACUGAGACACGGUCCAAACUCCUACGGGAGGCAGCAGUGAGGAAUAUUGGUCAAUGGACGAGAGUCUGAACCAGCCAAGUAGCGUGCAGGAUGACGGCCCUAUGGGUUGUAAACUGCUUUUAUAAGGGAAUAAAGUGAGUCUCGUGAGACUUUUUGCAUGUACCUUAUGAAUAAGGACCGGCUAAUUCCGUGCCAGCCGCCGCGGUAAAAGGG